rnacentral:rRNA from 1 species
GACGAACGCUGGCGGCGUGCCUAAUACAUGCAAGUCGAACGCUUUUUCUUUCACCGGAGCUUGCUCCACCGAAAGAAAAAGAGUGGCGAACGGGUGAGUAACACGUGGGUAACCUGCCCAUCAGAAGGGGAUAACACUUGGAAACAGGUGCUAAUACCGUAUAACAAGUAAAACCGCAUGGUUUUACUUUGAAAGGCGCUUUUGCGUCACUGAUGGAUGGACCCGCGGUGCAUUAGCUAGUUGGUGAGGUAACGGCUCACCAAGGCAACGAUGCAUAGCCGACCUGAGAGGGUGAUCGGCCACAUUGGGACUGAGACACGGCCCAAACUCCUACGGGAGGCAGCAGUAGGGAAUCUUCGGCAAUGGACGAAAGUCUGACCGAGCAACGCCGCGUGAGUGAAGAAGGUUUUCGGAUCGUAAAACUCUGUUGUUAGAGAAGAACAAGGAUGAGAGUAAAAUGUUCAUCCCUUGACGGUAUCUAACCAGAAAGCCACGGCUAACUACGUGCCAGCAGCCGCGGUAAUACGUAGGUGGCAAGCGUUGUCCGGAUUUAUUGGGCGUAAAGCGAGCGCAGGCGGUUUCUUAAGUCUGAUGUGAGAGCCCCCGGCUCAACCGGGGAGGGUCAUUGGAAACUGGGAAACUUGAGUGCAGAAGAGGAGAGUGGAAUUCCAUGUGUAGCGGUGAAAUGCGUAGAUAUAUGGAGGAACACCAGUGGCGAAGGCGGCUCUCUGGUCUGUAACUGACGCUGAGGCUCGAAAGCGUGGGGAGCAAACAGG